rnacentral:rRNA from 1 species
CGGUGAAAUGCGUAGAGAUUAGGAAGANCAUCAGUGGCGAAGGCGGCUUUCUGGACUGUAACUGACGCUGAGGCAUGAAAGCGUGGGGAGCAAACAGGAUUAGAUACCCUGGUAGUNCACGCCGUAAACGAUGAAUACUAGGUGUAGGAGGUAUCGACUCCUUCUGUGCCGCAGUUAACACAAUAAGUAUUCCGCCUGGGAAGUACGGUCGCAAGAUUAAAACUCAAAGGAAUUGACGGGGACCCGCACAAGCAGCGGAGCAUGUGGUUUAAUUCGAAGCAACGCGAAGAACCUUACCUAGACUUGACAUCUCCUGAAUUACUCGUAACUGAGGAAAUCCCUUCGGGGACAGGAAGACAGGUGGUGCAUGGUUGUCGUCAGCUCGUGUCGUGAGAUGUUGGGUUAAGUCCCGCAACGAGCGCAACCCUUAUCAUUAGUUGCUAACAGUAAGUUGAGCACUCUAGUGAGACUGCCUGGGUUAACCAGGAGGAAGGUGGGGAUGACGUCAAAUCAUCAUGCCCCUUAUGUCUAGGGCCACACACGUGCUACAAUGGUGGGGACAAAAAGAUGCGAAACCGCAAGGUUGAGCCAAACUCAAAACCCCAUCCCAGUUCGGAUUGUAGGCUGAAACUCGCCUACAUGAAGCCGGAGUUGCUAGUAAUCGCGAAUCAGAAUGUCGCGGUGAAUACGUUCCCGGGUCUUGUACACACCGCCCGUCACACCAUGAGAGUCGGCAACACCCGAAGCCCGUGAGGUAACCUUUUGGAACCAGCGGUCGAAGGUGGGGUUGAUAAUUGGGGUGAAGUCGUAACAAGGUAGCCGUAGGAGAACCUGC